GAUGAACGCUGGCGGCGUGCCUAAUACAUGCAAGUCGAGCGAACAGACGAGGAGCUUGCUCCUCUGACGUUAGCGGCGGACGGGUGAGUAACACGUGGAUAACCUACCUAUAAGACUGGGAUAACUUCGGGAAACCGGAGCUAAUACCGGAUAAUAUAUUGAACCGCAUGGUUCAAUAGUGAAAGACGGUUUUGCUGUCACUUAUAGAUGGAUCCGCGCCGCAUUAGCUAGUUGGUAAGGUAACGGCUUACCAAGGCGACGAUGCGUAGCCGACCUGAGAGGGUGAUCGACCACACUGGAACUGAGACACGGUCCAGACUCCUACGGGAGGCAGCAGUAGGGAAUCUUCCGCAAUGGGCGAAAGCCUGACGGAGCAACGCCGCGUGAGUGAUGAAGGUCUUAGGAUCGUAAAACUCUGUUAUUAGGGAAGAACAAAUGUGUAAGUAACUAUGCACGUAUUGACGGUACCUAAUCAGAAAGCCACGGCUAACUACGUG
rnacentral:rRNA from 1 species